UACGUAGGGUCCGAGCGUUGUCCGGAAUUAUUGGGCGUAAAGAGCUCGUAGGCGGUUUGUCGCGUCUGCUGUGAAAUCCCGAGGCUCAACCUCGGGCCUGCAGUGGGUACGGGCAGACUUGAGUGCGGUAGGGGAGAAUGGAAUUCCUGGUGUAGCGGUGGAAUGCGCAGAUAUCAGGAGGAACACCGAUGGCGAAGGCAGUUCUCUGGGCCGUAACUGACGCUGAGGAGCGAAAGCAUGGGGAGCGAACAGG
rnacentral:rRNA from 1 species